rnacentral:rRNA from 1 species
AGUGAACGCUGGCGGUAGGCCUAACACAUGCAAGUCGAACGGCAGCACAGUAAGAGCUUGCUCUUACGGGUGGCGAGUGGCGGACGGGUGAGGAAUACAUCGGAAUCUACUUUUUCGUGGGGGAUAACGUAGGGAAACUUACGCUAAUACCGCAUACGACCUACGGGUGAAAGCAGGGGAUCUUCGGACCUUGCGCGAUUGAAUGAGCCGAUGUCGGAUUAGCUAGUUGGCGGGGUAAAGGCCCACCAAGGCGACGAUCCGUAGCUGGUCUGAGAGGAUGAUCGGCCACACUGGAACUGAGACACGGUCCAGACGCCUACGGGAGGCAGCAGUGGGGAAUAUUGGACAAUGGGCGCAAGCCUGGUCCAGCCAUACCGCGUGGGUGAAGAAGGCCUUCGGGUUGUAAAGCCCUUUUGUUGGGAAAGAAAAGCAGCAGGUUAAUACCCCGCUGUUCUGACGGUAACCAAAGAAUAAGCACCGGCUAACUUCGUG